rnacentral:lncRNA from 1 species
AUGAGGAGGUGGACGAUUGUGCAGAGAGGUCUCCUGACUCGCUCCAGAGGAGAAGCACGAGAUGAAAGGCAGCUUCCCAACCCUGCUCUGUUUUCUCUGACACCGAGGUGCCACAGCAGGGCGGGCGUGGCGUGGUCUGAACCCCACUGUAUUCGGCCAUGCUGGAGUGUCUGCCAACAUGAUGAAGAAGCGGACGUCCCACAAGUAAGCCGUUCUGAAACCUGCUUUUGGAUCGCAUGUUGGGCCCUGGGGCAGCUGGCGUGUGGGGUCACUGAGGAGGCCGAGGGAGGGGUUCUCGGCUCAGCAGCCCCGCGCCUGGCGAGUCACUGUGUGCAGUCACGCCCCCUGGCUGCAGGGAGCCGGCUCUGCCUUUCACCCUGAGAAGCCUCUGGGUCAUGACCCCCUUCCUGUGUGCUGGGAGCUGGCCAGCUGUGGGAGAGUGGCAGGCCCGAGGGCACGUCUCCUGCCUCUCCUGGGUUGGGUCUGCUGUUGGAUAAGGAGCUCCUCUGGCGCUGAGACCAUUUCUUAUGUGGGGCGGGGCUCCCAGCAUCUGCCACCCUUGCUGCUUUGUCACAUUUUUACCUGAGUGAAAACCCUGUAAUGUAGGGAAAGCGACUGCAUGUCAGAGGAGAAUGCAGUAGCCAUGCAUGUAAAAAGAUGGCUCCACCCUGUGUUCUCUAGGCACCAGAGGACAGAAACUGCUUUCUUCCCCAAAGGAAUUGCUUUUGGCUGACAUAGUUGGAUCCAGAACAGAGAACUGAGAUGUUCUCUUCAUUGUAACGGUCCCACGUACAUCUGCUAGCACAGCCCCAGCCUCCCUGGGUCCUCGUCGUGCCCUGGUGACGGUGCCAUGGCGCUGACCGUGUGGGUGGUGUGAGUCUCCUUAGUCGUGGAGAAAGCACUCAGACCCGACAGGUGUUGGUUUCAGAUGAUUCAUGUGGACACUUCUGCCCCUUCGUCUCGGCGCUGGUGGCUGAAGACAGGAGUCGUGGCUGCCGAGGAAGGUCUGGACAGAUAGGGCUGUUGUGAUUGUGGUUGAGCCAGAGAGUUCCUGUUGGAAUGGAUACAGGAUAUUCACUGUAGAUAUUCGUGGUAAUCCGUUGGCGAAACAGCAAGUGAAAAUGCAAAGGUUAAGUAAGUAUGCCUGCUUCCCCGAGGUUUCAAGUGUUUCUCAAAUAUCACUGAUUUGCUCCUUAACCUUCAUGGUUUUGCCAUAUCCAGGAAUUUGAUAAUGUAUGCGAUAGAUGUCCCAUCAUUAUCAUGUCAAUAUCAUAAAUGGUAACCAUCCCUUACCACAAAUGGAAGACAUUAACGAAAAUAAAAUACAAGCCUUAAAUAUUAAAUGAUAGUUA